UGAUGAUCAGGGGACACGUACAGGCUUUAUUAGUAGUACUCUUGGUUGUUAUAGAAGAAGAAUUGUUGUUGUUAUAGAAGAGGAGGUUUUGUUAUAGAAGAGGAUGUGUUGUUAUAGAAGAGGAGGUGUUGUUAUAGAAGAGGAGGUAUUGUUAUGGAAAAUGGAGUGUUGUUAUAGAAGAGGAGAUGUUGUUAUAGAAGAUGGUUGUUGUUAUUGUGUUCAUAAUGACUUUUCUGUAGACAAUGCAUGGCUCAGGUGAAGGCUACACACUAUUAGUGGAAGGGUUGAUUUCACUUGAGAAUAUAAAGAUGACAAAGCUGC
rnacentral:lncRNA from 1 species